UACUGUAAGAAUAAGGAUCGGCUAACUCCGUGCCAGCAGCCGCGGUAAUACGGAGGAUCCAAGCGUUAUCCGGAAUCAUUGGGUUUAAAGGGUCCGUAGGCGGCUUAAUAAGUCAGUGGUGAAAGCCCUACGCUUAACGUAGGAACGGCCAUUGAUACUGUUAGGCUUGAAUUAUUAGGAAGUAACUAGAAUAUGUAGUGUAGCGGUGAAAUGCUUAGAGAUUACAUGGAAUACCAAUUGCGAAGGCAGGUUACUACUAAUGGAUUGACGCUGAUGGACGAAAGCGUGGGUAGCGAACAGGAUUAGAUACCCUGGUAGU
rnacentral:rRNA from 1 species